CUGAGCUCCCCGAUGGAGCUGGGUGGAUUCCACAACAGUAGUAGAGAUUAGCUACUAGCUAAUCUCUGUAAUCAUCCCUGGCUGGGUGGGGUUGCCAUCUGUUCUCCCUGGCCAGAUGAUUCUUCUAGCUAAAUUCUGUUUAGGGGAGGCUGCAGGCUAUGCUCUCUGGUGUAGCGGCACCACAGGCGGUGCUCUGUCAUCAGUUAAUGGCUUUGCUCCCUGGUCCAGCAGAGACGCUGGCUGUGCUCUGGGGUCAGGCAGGGUUACUGACUGGGUUCCAGGAUCAGGUAGGGCUGCAGCAUAUACCACACAGCUGGACUGAACCAUGAACUGAGGACCUCAGCCAGGCAGAAAUGGUGAGUGUGCUCUCUGGCCUGAGGACUGCUGACAUGACCUCACAGGUGGUACUUGAAAUCCAGAAUAAAUCAAUUUGAUGCUUGAGUGGAAGAUAAUGAAAACCAGGGCUCAGGCAUUCAAGGGGCUUAUGAUUGAAGAAAAGAGGGGCAGCCCGACCCAGAAAAUGUUUUGGUAACAUAAAAGGCUACUGCAGGAAGAAAUGCAGAAUGGGGGAAAUAUAUGAAAUAGCAUGUACGAAUGGAAAAUUAUGUUGUGUUAAUGAAGAGGAAAACAAAGCCUAC